CACUCCUGCGGGAGGCAGCAGUGGGGAAUUUUGGACAAUGGGCGAAAGCCUGAUCCAGCAAUGCCGCGUGAGUGAAGAAGGCCUUCGGGUUGUAAAGCUCUUUUGUCAGGGAAGAAACGGUGAGAGCUAAUAUCUUUUGCUAAUGACGGUACCUGAAGAAUAAGCACCGGCUAACUACGUGCCAGCAGCCGCGGUAAUACGUAGGGUGCAAGCGUUAAUCGGAAUUACUGGGCGUAAAGCGUGCGCAGGCGGUUUUGUAAGUCUGAUGUGAAAUCCCCGGGCUCAACCUGGGAAUUGCAUUGGAGACUGCAAGGCUAGAAUCUGGCAGAGGGGGGUAGAAUUCCACGUGUAGCAGUGAAAUGCGUAGAUAUGUGGAGGAACACCGAUGGCGAAGGCAGCCCCCUGGGUCAAGAUUGACGCUCAUGCACGAAAGCGUGGGGAGCAAACAGGAUUAGAAACCCCAGUAGUCCCAU
rnacentral:rRNA from 1 species